rnacentral:rRNA from 1 species
AUAUUAUUCGGCGUAGGAAAAGAAACUAACAUGGAUUCCACGCGUAAUGGCAAAUGAACGGGAAAGGGCCCAGCGCAGAAUCCCGUCAGUGCCUCACUGAGGGACCUGUGGAGUUUAAGCAAGCCUUUACGGCAUCUCGAGGCAGUCACAGUCCCCCUGAGGGGGGCCAUCGCUCAUAGCGGGUGCAAAGCCCACACAAUGUCUAUUGUGUCGAUAGGAGCUGCCGUGGACUCGGGUUGCUUGAAAGUGCAGCUGAAAUUGGUGAUAAACCCUGUCUAAGGCUAAAUAUGACCACGAGACCGAUAGCGCACAAGUA